UACGUAGGGUGCGAGCGUUAAUCGGAAUUACUGGGCGUAAAGCGUGCGCAGGCGGCGCGUUAAGACAGGUGUGAAAGCCCCGAGCUUAACUUGGGAAUUGCGCUUGUGACUGGCGUGCUGGAGUGUGGCAGAGGGGAGGUGGAAUUCCGACGUGUAGCAGUGAAAUGCGUAGAGAUGUGGAGGAAGCACCGAUGGCGAAGGCAGCC
rnacentral:rRNA from 1 species